GAUGAACGCUGGCGGCGUGCUUAACACAUGCAAGUCGAGCGAACGGACGCGACGCUUGCUUUUCUGAUGUUAGCGGCGGACGGGUGAGUAACACGUGGAUAACCUACCUAUAAGAGUGAGAUCACUUCGGGAAACCGGAGCUAAUACCGGAUAAUAUUUUGAACCGCAUGGUUCGAAAGUGAAAGACGGUCUUGCUGUCACUUCUAGCUGGAUCCGCGCUGCAUUAGCUAGUUGGUAAGGUAACGGCUUACGAAGGCGACGAUGCAUAGCCGACCUGAGUGGGUGAUCGGCGACACUGGAACGGGGACGCGGUCCAGGGGCCUACGGGAGGCAGCAGUAUGGAAUCGGCGGCAAUGGGCGGAAGCCUGACGGAGCAGCGCCGCGUGAGUGAUGAAAGUCUUCGGAGCGGAAUACUCUGUUAUUAGGGAAGAACAGAUGUGUAAGGAACUGUGCACAGCGUGACGGUACCUAGUCAGAAAGCCACGGCUAACUACGUG
rnacentral:rRNA from 1 species